rfam:Eimeria maxima Weybridge genomic scaffold, Emw_scaff68
GCACCAGUGGCGCAAUGGAUAGCGCGUAGCCCUCCUAAGGCUAAGGUUGUGGGUUCGAGUCCCAUCUGGUGUG